rnacentral:rRNA from 1 species
GUGCCAGCAGCCGCGGUAAAACGUAGGUACCGAGCGUUAUCCGGAUUUACUGGGCGUAAAGCGCGUUCAGGCGGUUUGGCAAGUCGGGCAUGAAAUCUCUCGGCUCAACCGGGCGAGGUUGUCCGAUACUGUCAGACUGGAGGGCAGUAGAGGGUGGUGGAAUUCCGGGUGUAGUGGUGAAAUGCGUAGAGAUCCGGAGGAACACCAGUGGCGCAAGCGGCCACCUGGACUGCACCUGACGCUGAAACGCGAAAGCUAGGGGAGCGAACGGGAUUAGAAACCCCCGUAGUCC